CGAACAUAGGGACACUGUU
rnacentral:miRNA from 1 species